UUGUUUGUAAGUGUGUGUAGUCUAAAAUGAAUUUAUGAUCGUAUGCUAUCCAUUUUUUUGUAUGCCAUUUUAAUAUUUGAGAAUUAACCAAUGCUAUUAGGCCACUCUUGGCCAUGAUUACAGACACCUGUGUGUCUUUUGACACUAUAUAAACGAGUCAUCCAGCAGUGUUUGUGAUUAUACCCUGAUGAAGAAAGCUUGGCUGUCGAAAUGUUGGAUAUUACAUUUUUGCAUCUGAGCAUCCUAGCUCCUUAUUUUCAAGUGUUCUACUCCGCUAGCCAGCACCACGACUAAAUAGAUCUGACAUAACAACUACCUCAAAAUGCUUCCAGUAUCCUGCUGUCAAAGGGCGAAAAUGUAUAUAACGAUGGGAGUGUUGAACAACACACAGCAGCUUGCUCAGAAAGUUGCAAGAUGGUGGACAAGCACAAGCUCUUUUUAAGCAAUAUUGCCACAACUAUGGAAAUAGGCUUGGGGUCAUUGUCCAUUUGGAAGACCCAUUUGCAACCAAGCUUUAACUUCCUGACUUAUGUCUUGAGAUGUUACUUCAGUAUAUCCACAAUUUUCCUUCCUCAUGAGGCCAUAUUUUUGGGGAAGUGCACCAUUACCUCCUGCAACAAAGCACCCCCACAACAUGAUGCUGCCACCCCCGUGCCUCACGGUUGGGAUGGUGUUCUUUUGCUUGCACGCGUCCCCCUUUUUCCUCCAAACAUAACAAUGGUGAUUAUGGCCAAACAGUUCUAUUUUUGUCUCAUCUGACCAGAGGACCUUUCUGCAAGCUUCCCCCUUUUUCCUUCAAACAUAACAAUGAAUGGACCAUUAUCAGACAACUGUCUCGAAACAGGGGCAGGGAAAUACUUACCACCUGCUUAUAUCCUAUACUCAGUGGAGGUGCCUGGACACAUUGGACACACCUGGUUCCUGGACACAUUGGAUGGAAGACCCACGGUAUAGUUGUGGACCACACGGAGACGACAAUUCAGUUGAAAAAAAUCGUCAAGAACAAAUUAUUUUAACCUAAAAUAUUUCAUAAAUAUAUUUAUAGUAAAAUAUUAUGGGGAUUGGGUAUGAGAGGGCUACUUACAGUGUUGGGAAGGGAUCACAGCAGUGAUUGAAUGAGGGUAUGAGGCAUUCAAAGGCUUUGGUGUAGGACAGGCUCAUUGUGGAUGGGUAGUGAUUGAGAAGAGCUCAAUUCUGCUGCCGAGGACAGGACAGGAUUUGACUGGGAAGACAAAAAACAAUAACAGUUAGACAAAAUAGCUAUGAAUGAGUUAUUACAAGCAAGAAUUUAAAUCACAUUGAUGUGUAAUAAUGUCUUUGUGUAUGUGAUUGACGCUACUUACAGUGCUUGGAGAGGAAACAUUCAAUGUGCCACUGGAUGAGAGGGCACAUGAGACAUGUCUUCAGUUCAUAUCAGGAGAGAGUUGACACUGGUGGUGGAGUGGUCAUCCCCUCUUAAUCAAGGAAUGGGAGGGGACUUACCUAUAAAUUCAAAUAGCAGAUACAUUCAGUGCCAUCAUACAAUAGGUUUGCGCAACAAGUUUCUCCAUGAAACUCAGACAUCUCAUAAUUUACCAUGUCACAGACUGCACAUCAUGCCCACUAACCAUAUCAAAGUAGCCCAAGAAACGUUUCUGAAUAAAGCCCUGAUUAUCCACAUACCUGACGAUAACUAAAACCAUGAGCUACACUUGAGGCCUUUGGGCCUUUUAUCCAUUUGCCAUGCGAAAAAAUGCGCUGUGUCAAACUUUUCAUCGCACUUUUAAUGGAUGAUGCGAAGGAAGCUAUUUAAAUAUUCUGAAUUGAUGUAGACAUCCCAGAGAAGACAGUAGAAAUGUCCAUAUGCAAGUAAAGCAUUGUAACGUGCAAUUACCUCUACAAGCUCCUUGUAGUUGCCCUUGUUAGCGGAACUUUCCCUCUCAUCGUGUUUACAAUGGCUUGUUGCGAGACAAAGCAACGUACUCCCUAAAAGCCAGCUCUUACAUGUUCAAAAAUGCAGUAUCGAUGUUUCUUCUCAUCUUCUCAUUUGGUUGCACAGUUUGAAUAAGCAGGACUUCUUUCAUUACAUGAUAGAUGUAGCUUUUUCCAGGAAGCUUGAAUUUGAUUUUGGGCAAUGAAAGGGUUUCUUCAACAAAAAAUCAGCUACAUUGUCGUUAGAAUUAGCUAGCCAUUCUGGCGGUAGCUCUCUACUUGCUAAUAAAGUUAGCAGGGCACAUUUUUAUGAAUGGCACUGACUUGACACAAACAACGUCCUUAAACCACGAAAAUAAUAUAUAUCGUUAUAUAUCUACCUCCGUCUCCUGUAUUUGAAGAAACUACACUCCAUUACCAAAUGUAUGUGGACACCUGCUCGUCGAACAUCUCAUUCCAAUAUCAUGGGCAUUAAUAUGGAGUUGCUCCCUCCUUUGCUCCUGUAACAGCUUCCACUCUUCAGGGAAGGCUUUCCAUUAGAUUGGUAAAUUCCUGCAGGGACUUCAAUUCAAUUCAAUUCAGCCACACACUAGUGAGGUUGGACACUGAUGUUGGGGGAUUAGGCCUGGCUCGCGGUCAGCGUUCCAAUUCAUCCCAAAGGUUCUUCCCACACCGACCUCGACAAACCAUUAAUGUAUGGACCUCGCUUUGUGCAGAGUCAUUGUGCAUGGGGUCAUGCUGUGACAGGAAAGGGCCUUCCCCAAACUGUUGUCACAAAGUUGGAAGAAUAGAAUCGUAUAUAAUAAUAAAAAAUAAAAAAAUAUAUUUUAAAAAAGAAUAGAAUCGUGUAUCAAUGUAUGCUGUAGCGUUAAGAUUUACCUUCAAUUGAACUAAAGGGCCUAUCCCAAAACAUGAAUAACAGCCCCAGACCAUUAUUCCUCCUCCACCAAACUUUACUGUUGGCACUAUGCAUUCGGGCAGGUAGCGUCCUCCUGGCUUCCCCCAAACCCAGAUUCAUCCAUCAGACUGCCAGAUGAUGAAGUGUGAUUCAUCACUGCAGAGAACGCGUUUCCACUGAGGGGGAAGCUUUCCACCAAUCUAGCCAACGUUUGGUAUUGCGAUCUUAGGCUUGUGUGCGGCUGUUCGUCCAAAUGUUUUUACCCGCUAUGGUCCUAUUCUGUGAGCUUGUGUGGACUACCAUGUUAUGGCCGAGCUGUUCUUGCUCCUAGAUGUUUCCACUUCACAAUAACAGCACUCAGUUUACUGAGGCAGCUCUAGCAGGGCAGAGAUAUUACGAACUGACUUUGUUAGAAAGGUGACAUCCUAUGACGGUGCCACGUUGAAUGCCAAUGAGCUCUUCAGUGAGGCCAUUCUACUGCCAGUAUUUGUCUAUGGAGAUUGGAUGGCUGUGUGCACGAUUUUAUACACCUGUCAGCAACGGGUGUGGCUGAAAUAGCCAAAUCCAUACAUUUGAAGGGGUGUCCACAUACUUUUGUAUAUAUAGUUACAUUUGAAUAAUAUCCUAAAAAUGCUCAACUAUCACUACUCACGAUCUAAAUCUAUUCUACAAUGUAACCAACCCACCAAGCUUCUAAAUCACACAUGAAUAGUACAAGGUUCAUUCUCUGAUCCUUUGAAUGGAAAGACUGUAAAUAGCUUUGAUUGGUUGGAAGUCUCUGGAAGUCAUCAUAAUUACCAUCUAGGUCUAUGAAAGGGCGUGAGGAGCAAGAGUCUCCUAGGUUUUGUAUUGAAGUCAAUGUACCCAGAGGAGGACGGAAAAUAGCUGUCCUCCGACUACACCAUGGAGCUACCCUAGAGGUUGCUAUUGAGACUACUGUAGACAUUCAUUGCAGGUAUUUUGGUGACGUGAACAUAUUUAGUAUAGUUUUAUCUAAAAAAUAAAAAGUGUUUCUUUAUUUUAGUUUUAUCUAAAAAAUAAAAAUUGUUUCUUUAUUUUUCUGUGAAUUUCUGUGUAGGAAGGUCUUCCCCUCCCUACACGGAAGAUCCUCCACUGACUACACUGUACUUCUAUAGACCAAUA